GGCCGCUUGGUAACCCGGAAGUGACCUCGGCCCGGUCACCCCUCCCCUCGCUCGACGCCGCCCCGUAUCGAUGACAGUCGGCGAUAGUUUCACAUCCGUCAGGGCGAGAAUCGUUAACGAUGGGUUCCCAUUCCUGGAGCUCAUCAGUCGACCAUUUUCUGGCAUUCUCCGAGGCACGGCUUGGAAGGUGGCAGCUCUGGACAGCCGAUUCCAGGUCGGCGUUGCCAGCUGAGGUGUUGCAGAAGAUGGAACAUCAGUAUUUUACUGUGGGUUCUUCUGUUUUUCCUGGAUGUCUGUGAAGACAAGUGUUUCAGGUCAUGUACUGUAUGCAUUCUCUGGUAUUCACAGUAGAAUAACGAAAUACAACAAAAUCAAAGAAAAGUUAUGCACAAAGACUGACAAGCAACCAAUGUGGAAAAGAAGGCCAACUAUGCAAAUACAAAAACACACACAAAUAAUAAAUAAACAAAUAAGACUGACAACAUGAUUAUAUUUUGUACAACUGUAAUAUAAUGUCCCAAUGAUUGUACUCAGUGCCUGAACUGAUGCAGGCAAGCAUACCACACCUUGGACACCUAUUUUCCCAUUGUCAGGGAACUGUGUAUUUGUUCACCGAGGUCUCCCUGUUCAACAACACUCCCCAGGGCCCUGCCAUUCACUCAAUCCUGUGGGGACGUGUCUUAUUCUGAUUGUUGGAAGUUGUUUCCAUUGUGAUUGCAAUUCACACAAAAUGCUGAUGGAACGCAGCAGGCUAGGCAGCAUCUACAGGGAGAAGUACUGUUGACGUUUU